UCCUCCUAGAAACCUUUCUCACUUCCUUGGGCUAAGUGGUUGUGUUUCAAAGGAGCCAUCACAAAAUGUCGUUUUGUUCAUUUCUUUAUCAAAUAACAAACCCCAAGGGUCAUUUUCUAAUCUGGUGAAUGUGGAAGAGAUGAGCCCAAAAUAUUAAAUAAAGUGUGCAUUGUCUAAACUUAAAUAUAAAAUGUGCAUAAGGAAAUGAUAUAAUUUUCAUUCCAAAUAAGAAUUGAAAACAUUAUCUUGGCCUAUCUUGAAUGUUCUCAUAGAGUUACAGAGUACUAAAUCUUUUUUUUCCCCCCCAGAGUACUAAAUCUUCAUUUGAGUUUUGUUCCCCUUCAGGAAGAAAAAGUACAGUGUGAGAGAAUUCUUCUUCAGAUCCUUCAUGAAACAAGAUCUUCUAAAUCUGGUGCUCAGGCCUUGGACCUCUUCUUUUUUCCUAUCUAAACUCACCACCUUAGUGAGCCCAUGCAGUCUUGUGGUUUUAAUUUUCGUCUAUAGGAUGAUGACUACUUAAUUGCUAUCUAUUGAACUUCAGACACUCUAAUUGGAUAUGCAUGGGAGAGGAAACACAUGAAGAUGAAUAAAGAAUCCUCGUUAUCAGG